GACGGAGGGCGCAAGCGUUGUUCGGAAUUACUGGGCGUAAAGCGCGGGCAGGUGGUCUGUUAAGUCGUUUGUGAAAAUCCGGGGCUCAACCCCGCGAAAUGCAUACGAUACUGGCAGACUGGAGACUGGUAGAGGCUAGCGGAAUUCCUGGUGUAGCGGUGGAAUGCGUAGAUAUCAGGAAGAACACCUGUGGCGAAGGCGGCUAGCUGGGCCAGAUCUGACACUCAUCCGCGAAAGCGUGGGGAGCAAACAGGAUUAGAAACCCCCGUAGUCC
rnacentral:rRNA from 1 species